rnacentral:rRNA from 1 species
GGAGGCAGCAGUGGGGAAUAUUGCACAAUGGGCGCAAGCCUGAUGCAGCCAUGCCGCGUGUAUGAAGAAGGCCUUCGGGUUGUAAAGUACUUUCAGUCGUGAGGAAGGCGGGUACGUUAAUAGCGUAUUCGUUUGACGUUAGCGACAGAAGAAGCACCGGCUAACUCCGUGCCAGCAGCCGCGGUAAUACGGAGGGUGCGAGCGUUAAUCGGAAUUACUGGGCGUAAAGCGCAUGCAGG